rnacentral:misc_RNA from 1 species
AUGAGUGUCGGAGUGGCGACCCUCCUCGCUGCUGCUUCCGGUGCUGUGCUGCGCAGGUGACGCACAUAAACUCAUCAACAGCAGCCGGCUGCGGACGUUUGCCCACAGGCGCGCACACUCAUCUGCACACACCUACAGUUUCCGUGUGCGCGGUGACCACCUUGCUCGGCACAUCGCUUGUGUACCCGCGCACACUGGCUCCAUGUCAGCUUCCUCGACAGUAUCGGAUAGGCGCGUCUGCAUCUUCUUUGACUGUCGUGUCGCAGGCGAUGGCAGAGGCUAUGAGGAGCUGCGGCAGACCGUGUACGCGCAGUGCAGCCAACUGCUGACUCUCUCCUACCUGCACUACCAAAGGAGUGGUACCACUCUCUCUGCGACCGUCCAUCUCGUGACGCACAAUCAUGUGGAGUCUUUCGCGACACCGUUCUGCGCCACGAGCACCGGCCAUCCAAUGGAUUCUGGCGCUGCUGGCGCGAUAAGUGGCCUUCGCGCACUUGCAGCCGCCCAGCCGGAUCACAGCGUCAACGCAUGCGGUGCCGCCAUUUUCGGCAAUCGCAUGGUGUCUGUGCUGCCGCACGUUCAGCGAGCACUGAGCGGCUCGCAGCAGCGUCAUCAGCUUAUCCUCUUCUGCUCCUCGUACGUCAGUCACACGGAGGCAACGCAGAGUCUGUCAGGGCUUUGCCUUGACGCCUCGCCGCAUCAGCGGCUGCGAUGUAUCCUGGUGGACUGGGAGGCAGUGUGCGUGACUGUCGGCGAGCUGGCGAGCAACGUACGCGUAUAUCGCUGCUCUCGUAGUGCGCGUCAGCUGCAGGCCGCAAUGCAGGAGAUUCUUUCCUUCUUUCUGCUGCCUCAUGUGCGCUCUUCACGUCGCCUUGGGCUGCAACUCGGUUUGCAGGCGGUGCCAGUCAUUGCGACGAUCUGGCAUUACGGGGCUUUCCUUGACGGGCGCGACACCAUCGGCAGCGUGCUGGUGACAGAUCGUGCGUCGUCUGCUGCUGCGCCUGUGGCCGGCGGUGCCGUGCACCAACGUCUUGCAGAGACGAAUCACCGUCAUGAUCGUGCCACUGCGGCAUCGGUGGUAGAGAGGGGUGGUCAGGACCCCUGGGCCACGCUGCAUCUACGCGCAGUGCUCGAAGCUGACAACAUAGACGAAUCGCUCCUGAUGGGAGACACAUGGACUCUAGCCCUGGACACAUCGGCCGCCUCCACCUCCACCUUGACCUCCUCUUCUGCGCCCUCGUGGCCAUGCACCGCAUCGUCAGUGGCGCUCUGGCACGCCUUCUGCGACGCCUUCCUUGGAGAUGCGCUCGUGCUCACCGGUGAGGAGACGGGCAUCGAAGCACACCGCCAUGCAAUGCAGCCCCAUCAUCACUUCGUGGCAUACUUCAUGCCGGACAGGACGAUGCGGGUGCGCGAAAUUGUGCCCCCUGAGCUGCGCUUGGUUCCGCUCCCCGCGCUCCCAACGCGCGAAGGGCUACGGGAGCAGAAGGCGUAUACAACAGAAAUGCAGCGCCUUCGAGAGCAGCUGGUGUCCCACUGCGCCUCCUCCUCUUUCUCACUUGAUGCGCUUCUCUCAAGUGGAUGGUGCGGUGCGGCGAGCACACCGUAGAGCGCCCUGUUGCACAGGGCGGUGGGGGAGGCGUGAGGAGCUUGUAAACAUUUGCGCGUUUCGUUGCUCCUGUGCGCGUCGGUGAGCAUGCCUGUGUGUCGCAUCCCCCUCUCCGUCCCGCGUGAUCGUCACUUCGCGCCUGGACCACGCUCCUGCUGCUCCACAUCGCUUCCAGUUGCUCGUCGGCCGAUUUUUUUUUUCCUCCUUCGGUCGUCCUCCAUAUCUGCUAUGCACCGUUUGCUGCCUAUCAGGCGCACGCAGCUCCGCUACACGCU